GCCAAAUUUGUUUGAUUGUGGUGUCUACGCUCUUUUAUUUGUUCAGAAGUUCAUUGAACAUGCCCCAGAAGGAGUGGAAAACAAAUAUCAAAAUGUGAUUGGGAAGACGUGCUUUGGAAUAAAAGAAGUUAAUGAUUUGAGAAUUAAUUUGAAAGAAUCAAUCAGAAAAGUAAUAGCUCAACAGAAACCAAAAGAAACACGAAAGAAGAGGAAAGCAGUAGAAAUUCUACAGAAACAACCGGAAGCAGUAGAAAGUCAACAACAAGUUUCAAAACCAGAACGAAAGAAGAGGCGUACAGAAUUGGAAAUUCUUUGUGGCCAACCAGUAGAUAAGAGCAAGAUUAUCCAGAGUGGGGCUGUCGAGCGGACAUUAAGAAGUAAAAAAGCUGUCAGGAAGGGACUAAGAAGUAAGAACUAAAUUAAAAAAUGAUAUUUCGCCAACUUUAGACAUAUUUAAAACGUAUGUGAAUUGUAUUAUAGAGUGCUCCUUCAUUCAAAAUGGAGGAUGGUGAAAAGUCUUUAUUAUAGACUGUCACUGACUCACUGUUACUCUGUCAACGCCAGUGUUUUGAAACCCGGGCCGGACCGGGAACCGUUACCACCGGCGGUCCGGUUUACCCCCUCAAAACGGUUCUCAAAAUAUCCGGCCGGUUCUCAAAAUAAUGGUAUCUUGUUUAUUGGUUAACCAGAUUAACCUUAAUUGAAGAGUUAAUCGAGUUAACCAUAAUAGACCAUUGGUUUUGGUGACUGGAAUAUGCAAAGUUGAGUUGUCUCACAUUGAUUUUUUAACAAACGGAGUGGUAUUAAGUGGCUAUAAAAAACAUCCACACAAGCAAAACUAGUCACUUUGAUGACCGUUUUGACACAUAUAGCUCUUUUGUCA